rnacentral:lncRNA from 1 species
AAUCUAUGAUUCCUGCUUUGCUUGCUACAGCUCAUUUGGGGGCAUGAAUGUUCUCCUUACUAACCUCUCAUGGAGUCAUGUGAUAACAGCCAUUGUCAUGUGUAUGGAUGCCACCAUUCUUGAAUUUCUGCUAGAAAUAAGUAGGUUGCUAUUGCACUUAGAGUCAUCUUUGCAAGGGACUCAUUCCAAACCAAUUCCAAUCGACCUGAAAGUCCCUUGCACUAAAGAAAUGUGAUUUUUUUUUAACCCAAGGAGAAAGUUGGUUGUAACAAUUUUUCACCAGAAUUAGCAAUCUGAUAGAAUAGGCUUUUUUAACAGGAAUUUUAAACUGGCGGUGCCAGUUGCAGUGAAGGUGAAGUGGCUAUUGCUUUAUAUUCGACAAAUAUUUAUUGAGCAUCUACUAUAUACUAGGCCCUGAAGAUAGAGCGUUGAACAAACCCAAUAGUCUUGGCCCUCAAAAAGCUUUAUGUGACAUAGAGCAUCCAGCUCGACAAUUAGCAAACCCCUGAUAUUAUUCAUGGACUUGACAUGAGGUUUGGACUAUUCAUGAGCAACAGCAGAAGGUCCAUGACCCCUACAAAUUUACAUUUUUCUAUGGCCCAUAUUUGAAAACCUCACAUUCGGAGCAGGCCACUUUAUAUUCGUGAGUGAUCCCAAGCUCACUGACCAACAGAAAAGAUGCUAAAAAAAUGUGUCCUAUCAUGUGCCUGCUCCAACUGAUGGGUAAUGUCUGCCUUUAAGCCCCAGAAUGGAUUCUCCAGGCACAGUGUGGAAGAGUGCUGUGGUUGAUUAGCAAUGUCUGCCUUGGGUGAGGAAAGGGGAACACUCCUCAAGUGCCUCCUACUGUCAUCUCCAUUCAGCCUAGCACCACAUCCCCAUGUAGAAGUGUUGUCUUCUACUGCUUGCCACGUACAAGUGUGAAAUGCCAAGGUGAGACUCGUACACUUGGGGAUUUGCAAUGGUUUUUACCCCUCAUGAAGGUCAGAGGUGGACUAUUUGUACACAUACACACAUGCACACCCUCUCACGUCCUCCAGAGGCUGAAAGACUAUCAGCAUCUUGGUAACUGCCAUGCAUGAGCAGCAAGGACAGCCUUCCAUAAUCCAUGCCCCAUUUCCUCUGGAAGCCUGGAAACUUUUCAUUUCCUGUUCCUUGCUAAUUAACAUCUAAACAUGCUUCUCAUUUCCAGCCAUUGCUGAUGCUUCUCAGUUGAAGUUUGAGCCACAUCCCUCUUACAGCUAGUGAAUGAGUUGGUAGCAGCUACUGUAUAUAAUAAUAAUAAUAGUUUUAAUAAUAGGGGAGGGUGGGAUGGGGUGUGGGUAAGUUUUGCCUUUUGUUUUGUUUUUGAUGCCGUAUAUAGUGAAGGGGUGAGGAUAUUCUAAACAAACAAAAAUUGAAUAAUUUAUUCACAGAAACUAUUAAGAUUGUAUUGUAAAGCUCACAGCAAGCUCAGUGGGCAGCAGCUGCAACAUCUCACCGGGGAAAUUAUUUUAUUUAACGUGAGUGAGAUGUGGGCCGGAGAAGGUAGCUGAAGCUAUUUAUAAAACGUUGUGUACCUUCUUCCGAGCUCUCUCCCCUUUGUGAAGGGCGCAGCAACUAUACCCUUGAUGGAUGGAGAUUUACGCAAUGUGUUUUACUGGGUAGAGUGACAGACCUUGGCUGUCCCUGGAAUUGAGAAUCUGGACCUUAUUUCCAGGCAGAGAACACUGUCCUCAGAAAUGGGACUUCUGAUAAUGAAACAGGUUGUCCAACAUUUUCUAAUACGCAUUCUACAGAACACAGGUUCCAGGAGGCAUCAGGUUGGUGUGAUGCAGACUAAGGGUUUUGUGGUCAAAUAUCCUUAAGAAACAAAGUUAAGUCAGUUUCCUUUCUGCAAGGACUUUUCAGCCUUCAAUGUGUGCUGUGCAUGGUGAAUCCCCAAAAAUAAUCCUUGAGUCUGUAGCAUUUCCUGAACUUACAUGACCAGGAUACUCUAUUUUGCAGAUCACCCCACAGAGCUAGGGUUCCACCGAGUAUACUUUGCUUAGGUUGACUUAGCAUAUCUGAGGUCUUCAAGGAUAAAAACUGCCACCCCAACACCCUUCCAUUAAAAAAAAAAUACAAAAUAGCACCACAGUCUCCAUCUGGUUUAUAGCAACAGAGGUACUUUAUUUAAUGAAGCAAUGGUUCUAAUCCUGGAUACUGCCACGGACUACAAUUCUAUCCCUCCCAGAGGGAGUGGAGGAAGUCUUGGGUGGUGUGGACAGAAGGAAGAGAGGAGAGGGUGAGUGGGGUAUAGGGCCCAGGGUGGCUCCCUACUCCUCAGGCUCAAAAGGAUGCUCAGUGGGAACAGAUGAUCUCUUGAUGAGUGCUUCUUCAGUUUCAUAGUUUGGAAUCGUUCACUGUGUGCUUUUUGGGGGGUUUUCAAUGGAAAUUCACGUUGCUUUGCAUUUCUGUGUCCGUCUUUGGUCAGUUGUGCAAGCCUGCUCACUGUCAUGUGAAGAUGGCCUUUCAUCUGGCUUCUCUCUCUUAAGUGAGAAAGAUUGUCCUUCAGGGGACAUGACAUCAAUAGGUUUCUGGAAUGAGGGACUCUUUCUCCCCGUGUUUUGCUUUGUGUUCACAUUUUCUUUUCUAAUGGCAUUGAAACUUUAAAAAAAAUGGAUUCAACUGUUUUUGCAGAAUGUAGAAAGUAUUCUGUGUCCUUGGUUAAAGAAAUCCACUUGUGAAGUGUGCCUGGAAAAUGAAAGUUUGUGUUUUUUAAAGAGGAAUAUUUGAAACUGCUUUCUAUGCAUGCUUAGCUGGAGAAAAGUACAGGCAGGCGUCCCAUCUCCCAGCCACUUCUCAAAGGUGCUGCUGUGUUUUAAAGACCAGGUACAGCCAGGGCAGUAUUUGCAAGGACAUUCCUGCUUACUUUAUCCCUUUGGUUGGAAAGCUCUAGAUGAUUCCCGCAGCUCCUCCAGACCCCGCCUCCCUGCCCUCCCCAGCUGGUCUGGGAAGAGGUGGUCUGCUGACCUGUGGUAUCUCAGAGGGGACGUUCCUCCUCCUCCCUGUGCACCAGGUGGGCUGCACCCUCCUGCCUAUUCAGGAUGUGGAUGCCACAGGAGAGCAGCAGGCAGUGGAAACUUCAGUUGCACUGGUUCUCCUGGUGGCAAAGGCAUGAAGCACAGGGGUCGAUUAAUCCAGGCUACUAGAAAGCUCCAGAGCAAAGUGUGCGGGUCCCACAAAUGCUUGGCUGGUGGGGUCUGGAUCAGUGCUGAGAUAGAGUUGGCAGAAGAAGCAGAGGCACUCUGCUUGCUUUCCUAGCCAGUCCUCCCCUACACACACACACACACACACACACACACACACACACAAUCUCAGCUGCGCCAUUCUGUGCAAUCCCAGUGACCAAAUCCCUUCCUUGCCCACCUCUAUGUCAGCAGGACUGACCACAUCACUCCCCCGAGUUCCCACCACCAGCAUUUCCUCCAACCUUUUUCCAUCACAACCAGUUAGAACCCUACAGGCAACAAGGCCUUCUAGAAUCCGCUUAACCCUUGGCUGAUAACAGGCAAAUUUCAGUCUGCUACACUUUGUUAGGUCCAGAAGGAGCUGCCCAUACUACUUUCUUAUGAGCAUGCUCAGUAUGGCAUAUGGACAUGUAAUGUCACAUCUUUGUGGAGUGUGAUUUUCUUUUUUCACAUAUUUGUAUGCAGUAGAGAGCCUGUUGUAGAAAACGCUCCCUGUAUCUUGCUGUACUGUUAAAGAAAGCUGAAUUCCACAUUGCCAACAAAAGCGUGAAAAUGUUCAUGAACCUUCCUCCAGGAAAAGCCAUUCAAGCCUGAUUAUUUUUCUAAGUAACUUCAAUUAAAUUGAAG